AUACGUAGGGGGCGAGCGUUGUCCGGAAUGAUUGGGCGUAAAGGGCGCGUAGGCGGCCCGGUAAGUCUGGAGUGAAAGUCCUGUUUUUAAGAUGGGAAUUGCUUUGGAUACUGUCGGGCUUGAGUGCAGGAGAGGUAAGUGGAAUUCCCAGUGCAGCGGUGAAAUGCGUAGAGAUUGGGAGGAACACCAGUGGCGAAGGCGACUUACUGGACAGUAACUGACGCUGAUGCGCGAAAGUGUGGGGAGCAAACAGGAUUAGAUACCCUGGUAGUCCACACUGUAAACGAUGAAUGCUAGGUGUAGGGGGUAUCGACCCCUUCUGUGCCGCAGUCAACACAAUAAGCAUUCCGCCUGGGGAGUACGGCCGCAAGGUUGAAACUCAAAGGAAUUGACGGGG
rnacentral:rRNA from 1 species